AGCAGCCGCGGUAAUUCCAGCUCCAAUAGCGUAUAUUAAAGUUGUUGCAGUUAAAAAGCUCGUAGUUGAAUUUCGGGAUCAAUGCGUCGGUCGUGCCUUCGGUACGUACUAGCGUCAUUGAUUCCUCCCUUCUGAAGAACCGUGAUGUCAUUUAAUUUGGUGUUACGGGGAAUCAGGACUGUUACCUUGAAAAAUUAAGAGUGUUUAAAGCAGGCUAACGCUUGAAUACAUUAGCAUGGAAUAAUGAAAUAGGACGUUCGAACCUAUUUUGUUGGUUUCUAGGAUCGACGUAAUGAUUAAUAGGGAUAGUUGGGGGCAUUAGUAUUCAAUUGUCAGAGGUGAAAUUCUUGGAUUUAUUGAAGACUAACUACUGCGAAAGCAUUUGCCAAGGAUGUUUUCAUUAAUCAAGAACGAAAGUUAGGGGAUCGAAGACGAUCAGAUACCGUCGUAGUCUUAACCAUAAACUAUGCCGACUAGGGAUCGGAUGAUGUUAAUUUUUUAAUGACUCA
rnacentral:rRNA from 1 species